GACGUAGGGCGCAAGCGUUGUCCGGAUUUAUUGGGCGUAAAGAGCUCGUAGGCGGCUUGUCGCGUCGACUGUGAAAACCCGCGGCUUAACUGUGGGACUGCAGUCGAUACGGGCUAGCUAGAGUUCGGUAGGGGAGACUGGAAUUCCUGGUGUAGCGGUGAAAUGCGCAGAUAUCAGGAGGAACACCGGUGGCGAAGGCGGCCCCCUGGACAAAGACUGACGCUCAGGUGCGAAAGCGUGGGGAGCAAACAGG
rnacentral:rRNA from 1 species